GAGGGUAUAGCUCAGUGGUAGACUGUAUGCUUAGCAUUCAUGAGGUCCUAGGUUCAAUCCCCAGUACCUCCA
rnacentral:tRNA from 1 species